rnacentral:rRNA from 1 species
CAGGACGAACGCUGGCGGCGUGCCUAAUACAUGCAAGUCGAACGCACUGACGUCGACAGAAGGUGCUUGCACUGGAAGUUGAUUGACGUGAGUGGCGGACGGGUGAGUAACACGUGGGUAACCUGCCCUUAAGCGGGGGAUAACAUUUGGAAACAGAUGCUAAUACCGCAUAAAAGUUGAGAUCACAUGGUCUUAAUUUGAAAGACGGCCUUUGGCUGUCACUUAAGGAUGGACCCGCGGCGUAUUAGCUAGUUGGUGAGAUAAUAGCCCACCAAGGCGAUGAUACGUAGCCGACCUGAGAGGGUAAUCGGCCACAUUGGGACUGAGACACGGCCCAAACUCCUACGGGAGGCAGCAGUAGGGAAUCUUCCACAAUGGACGAAAGUCUGAUGGAGCAACGCCGCGUGAGUGAAGAAGGUUUUCGGAUCGUAAAACUCUGUUGUUGGAGAAGAACAGGGACUAGAGUAACUGUUAGUCCUUUGACGGUAUCCAACCAGAAAGCCACGGCUAACUACGUGCCAGCAGCCGCGGUAAUACGUAGGUGGCAAGCGUUGUCCGGAUUUAUUGGGCGUAAAGCGAGCGCAGGCGGUUUCUUAAGUCUGAUGUGAAAGCCUUCGGCUUAACCGAAGAAGUGCAUCAGAUACUGGGAAACUUGAGUGCAGAAGAGGAAAGUGGAACUCCAUGUGUAGCGGUGAAAUGCGUAGAUAUAUGGAAGAACACCAGUGGCGAAGGCGGCUUUCUGGUCUGUAACUGACGCUGAGGCUCGAAAGUAUGGGGAGCGAACAGGAUUAGAUACCCUGGUAGUCCAUACCGUAAACGAUGAAUGCUAAGUGUUGGAGGGUUUCCGCCCUUCAGUGCUGCAGCUAACGCAUUAAGCAUUCCGCCUGGGGAGUACGACCGCAAGGUUGAAACUCAAAGGAAUUGACGGGGGCCCGCACAAGCGGUGGAGCAUGUGGUUUAAUUCGAAGCUACGCGAAGAACCUUACCAGGUCUUGACAUCUAGCGCCAAUCCUAGAGAUAGGACGUUCCCUUCGGGGACGCUAAGACAGGUGGUGCAUGGUUGUCGUCAGCUCGUGUUGUGAGAUGUUGGGUUAAGUCCCGCAACGAGCGCAACCCUUAUGAUUAGUUGCCAGCAUUAAGGUGGGCACUCUAAUCAGACUGCCGGUGACAAA